AGUGAACGCUGGCGGUAGGCCUAACACAUGCAAGUCGAACGGCAGCACAGGAGAGCUUGCUCUCUGGGUGGCGAGUGGCGGACGGGUGAGGAAUACAUCGGAAUCUACUUUUUCGUGGGGGAUAACGUAGGGAAACUUACGCUAAUACCGCAUACGACCUACGGGUGGAAGCAGGGGACCUUCGGGCCUUGCGCGAUUGAAUGAGCCGAUGUCGGAUUAGCUAGUUGGCGGGGUAAAGGCCCACCAAGGCGACGAUCCGUAGCUGGUCUGAGAGGAUGACCAGCCACACUGGAACUGAGACACGGUCCAGACUCCUACGGGAGGCAGCAGUGGGGAAUAUUGGACAAUGGGCGCAAGCCUGAUCCAGCCAUACCGCGUGGGUGAAGAAGGCCUUCGGGUUGUAAAGCCCUUUUGUUGGGAAAGAAAUCCAGCCGGUUAAUACCUGGUUGGGAUGACGGUACCCAAAGAAUAAGCACCGGCUAACUUCGUGCCAGCCGCCGCCGUAA
rnacentral:rRNA from 1 species